rnacentral:rRNA from 1 species
AACGAACGCUGGCGGCAGGCUUAACACAUGCAAGUCGAACGCCCCGCAAGGGGAGUGGCAGACGGGUGAGUAACGCGUGGGAAUCUACCCAGAUCUUCGGAACAACUGAGGGAAACUUCAGCUAAUACCGGAUACGCCCUACGGGGGAAAGAUUUAUCGGUUCUGGAUGAGCCCGCGUUGGAUUAGCUAGUUGGUGAGGUAAAGGCUCACCAAGGCGACGAUCCAUAGCUGGUCUGAGAGGAUGAUCAGCCACACUGGGACUGAGACACGGCCCAGACUCCUACGGGAGGCAGCAGUGGGGAAUAUUGGACAAUGGGCGAAAGCCUGAUCCAGCCAUGCCGCGUGAGUGAUGAAGGCCUUAGGGUUGUAAAGCUCUUUCAGUAGGGAAGAUAAUGACGGUACCUACAGAAGAAGCCCUGGCUAACUUCGUGCCAGCCGCCGCCGUAA